UGGGGAAUAUUGGACAAUGGGCGAAAGCCUGAUCCAGCAAUGCCGCGUGAGUGAUGAAGGCCUUAGGGUUGUAAAGCUCUUUUACCCGGGAUGAUAAUGACAGUACCGGGAGAAUAAGCUCCGGCUAACUCCGUGCCAGCAGCCGCGGUAAUACGGAGGGAGCUAGCGUUGUUCGGAAUUACUGGGCGUAAAGCGCACGUAGGCGGCUACUCAAGUCAGAGGUGAAAGCCCAGGGCUCAACCUUGGAACAGCCUUUGAAACUAGGUAGCUAGAAUCUUGGAGAGGUCAGUGGAAUUCCGAGUGUAGAGGUGAAAUUCGUAGAUAUUCGGAAGAACACCAGUGGCGAAGGCGACUGACUGGACAAGUAUUGACGCUGAGGUGCGAAAGCGUGGGGAGCAAACAGG
rnacentral:rRNA from 2 species